UUGAAAUGCUUUAAUUAUUAUUUGAGUCAAGUAACAGUGGAAUCAAGAGACAGAGAGCCCACCGUGCUGCUAUAACAUGAAACACUAACAUCCAAGAUGAUAAUAAUAGUGAUGCUGUAGUGACCAUAUAAGAGAUAGAGAGCCCACCGUGCUGCUAUAACAUGAAACAUUAACAUCCAAGAUGAUAAUAAUAGUGAUGAUGUAGUGACCAUAUUGUUCUCUAGGUGUCAGUGUUAUAGUGAUAAUGUAGUGACCAUAUUGUUCUCUAGGUGUCAGUGUUAUAGUGAUGAUGUAGUGACCAUAUUGUUCUCUAGGUGUCAGUGUUAUAGUGAUGAUGUAGUGACCAUAUUGUUCUCUAGGUGUCAGUGUUAUAGUGAUGAUGUAGUGACAAUAUUGUUCUCUAGGUGUCAGUGUUAUAGUGAUGAUGUAGUGACCGUACUGUUCUCUAGGUGUCAGUGUUAUAGUGAUAAUGUAGUGACCAUAUUGUUCUCUAGGUGUCAGUGUUAUAGUGAUAAUGUAGUGACCAUAUUGUUCUCUAGGUGUCAGUGUUAUAGUGAUGAUGUAGUGACCGUACUGUUCUCUAGGUGUCAGUGUUAUAGUGAUGAUGUAGUGACCGUACUGUUCUCUAGGUGUCAGUGUUAUAGUGAUGAUGUUGUGACCAU